UUGGUUAAGUUAGAAAGGGCGCACGGUGGAUGCCUUGGCACUAGGAGCCGAAGAAGGACGGGACUAACACCGAUAUGCUUUGGGGAGCUGUACGUAAGCGUUGAUCCAGAGAUUUCCGAAUGGGGGAACCCACUAUCUUUAGUCGGAUAGUAUCCUUACGUGAAUACAUAGCGUGAGGAAGGCAGACCCAGGGAACUGAAACAUCUAAGUACCUGGAGGAAGAGAAAGAAAAAUCGAUUUCCUGAGUAGCGGCGAGCGAAACGGAAAGAGCCCAAACCAAGAAGCUUGCUUCUUGGGGUUGUAGGACACUCUAUACGGAGUUACAAAAGAAAGUUAUAAAUGAAGCGGUCUGGAAAGGCCCGCCAAAGACGGUAACAGCCCGGUAGUUGAAAUGGCUUUCCCUCCAGAGUGGAUCCUGAGUACGGCGGAACACGUGAAAUUCCGUCGGAAUCCGGGAGGACCAUCUCCCAAGGCUAAAUACUCCCUAGUGACCGAUAGUGAACCAGUACCGUGAGGGAAAGGUGAAAAGCACCCCGGAAGGGGAGUGAAACAGUUCCUGAAACCGUGUGCCUACAAGUAGUUAGAGCCCGUUAAUGGGUGAUAGCGUGCCUUUUGUAGAAUGAACCGGCGAGUUACGAUUUGUUGCAAGGUUAAGCGGAAAAAGCGGAGCCGUAGCGAAAGCGAGUCUGAAUAGGGCGCAUAAGUAACAGGUCGUAGACCCGAAACCAGGUGAUCUACCCAUGUCCAGGAUGAAGGUAAGGUAAUACUUACUGGAGGUCCGAACCCACGCACGUUGAAAAGUGCGGGGAUGAGGUGUGGGUAGCGGAGAAAUUCCAAUCGAACUUGGAGAUAGCUGGUUCUCUCCGAAAUAGCUUUAGGGCUAGCCUCGAGGUAAAGAGUCAUGGAGGUAGAGCACUGUUUGGACUAGGGGCCCUUCUCGGGUUACCGAAUUCAGAUAAACUCCGAAUGCCAUGUACUUAUACUCGGGAGUCAGACUGCGAGUGAUAAGAUCCGUAGUCGAAAGGGAAACAGCCCAGACCACCAGUUAAGGUCCCCAAAUAUAUGUUAAGUGGAAAAGGAUGUGGGGUUGCUUAGACAACCAGGAUGUUGGCUUAGAAGCAGCCACCAUUGAAAGAGUGCGUAAUAGCUCACUGGUCGAGUGACCCCGCGCCGAAAAUGUACCGGGGCUAAACAUAUUACCGAAACUGUGGAUGAACCUCUUUAGAGGUUCGUGGUAGGAGAGCGUUCUAAGGGCGGUGAAGUCAGACCGGAAGGACUGGUGGAGCGCUUAGAAGUGAGAAUGCCGGUAUGAGUAGCGAAAGAAGGGUGAGAAUCCCUUCCACCGAAUAUCUAAGGUUUCCUGAGGAAGGCUCGUCCGCUCAGGGUUAGUCGGGACCUAAGCCGAGGCCGAUAGGCGUAGGCGAUGGACAACAGGUAGAGAUUCCUGUACCAGUGCUAAUUGUUUAACCGAUGGGGUGACACAGAAGGAUAGGGAAUCGCACGAAUGGAAAUGUGCGU
rnacentral:rRNA from 1 species